AAGUCGUAACGAGGUUUUCUUAUCACAAGUUAUGGAUUCUUCCGUAGUGACACUUGCUGAAGCCUUAGCUGCCUGAAAUAUAAAAGGUGGUAUGCAACAACUAUAAAAAGAUCAGCAUACCUUAAAAGCUAGUUAGUGAUAAUUUCGCUAGCCACAUCGUCAAAUUGCGGGGACACCCUUAGAGCUUGAGAUACCGCGGUUCGUGUGGAAACACCGAAUGCGGCAGGUCGGGUAGCACCCGAUCGGAUGGUAAUAAUUCUCAAGAUUGGGGCAAUCCGCAUCCAAGUGCCUCGCCUUUGUGAUCGUCUCACAGGCAAGCAUGCAGUUCACAGGCCAAAUGUCGAUGGGUCUCGUAAAAAGAGAUCUAAGUUAUGGUCGGGUCAAUAACGAAAGUUAUUGAACGAGUCACUGAACCCCCAAUGAGGGUCAACCGCAACCGUUCCGUAGGUGAACCUGCGGAAGGAUCAUUAGUGAAUAAUAGGACGUCUUCUCUUCGGAGAGAGUCCGACCUCUCACUUUCUAACACUGUGCACUUGAAAUACUUGGGGAUUAAGCGGGCUUUGUUGCCUGUCCCAAUUACUUUUAUAACUCUAAGUUAAAGAAUGUAAUGAUAAACCAUAACAAAAGAAAAA
rnacentral:misc_RNA from 1 species